rnacentral:rRNA from 1 species
UGGGGAAUAUUGCACAAUGGGCGCAAGCCUGAUGCAGCCAUGCCGCGUGUAUGAAGAAGGCCUUCGGGUUGUAAAGUACUUUCAGCGGGGAGGAAGGUGUUGAGGCUAAUAACCUCAGCAAUUGACGUUACCCGCAGAAGAAGCACCGGCUAACUCCGUGCCAGCAGCCGCGGUAAUACGGAGGGUGCAAGCGUUAAUCGGAAUUACUGGGCGUAAAGCGCACGCAGGCGGUCUGUCAAGUCGGAUGUGAAGUCCCCGGGCUCAACCUGGGAACUGCAUUCGAAACUGGCAGGCUAGAGUCUUGUAGAGGGGGGUAGAAUUCCAGGUGUAGCGGUGAAAUGCGUAGAGAUCUGGAGGAAUACCGGUGGCGAAGGCGGCCCCCUGGACAAAGACUGACGCUCAGGUGCGAAAGCGUGGGGAGCAAACA